rnacentral:rRNA from 1 species
GUCGUACAGGUUUCCGUAGGUGAACCUGCGGAAGGAUCAUUG